rnacentral:RNase_P_RNA from 1 species
GAAGUGAACUGGAUGACCGCUGGCGCGACAGUCAAGCGCGAGAGGAAAGUCCGGGCUCCACAGGACAGGGUGGUCGGUAACACCGACCGGUUGUGAAGCCAGGGAAAGUGCCACAGAGAAUAGACCGCCGAUGACCGUGAACGCGGAACAGGCAAGGGUGAAACGGUGCGGUAAGAGCGCACCAGCAGACGGGGCGACCCGCCUGGCUUGGCAAACCCCACCCGGAGCAAGGCCAAACAGGAAGCAGAUUUAGUUCGAAUCGCUAUCGACUUCCGGGUAGGCCGCAUGAGACGCCGAGCAAUCGGCGCCCUAGAUAAAUGGCCAUCAACCGUGACGCCACGGUUACAGAACCCGGCUUACAGGUUCACUUCGUUU